rnacentral:rRNA from 1 species
UGCGUAGGCGGGGCGGUAAGUCAGAGGUGAAAUCUUCCAGCUUAACUGGGAAACUGUCUUUGAUACUGUCGUCCUUGAGUAUAGUUGAGGUGGGCGGAAUGUGUAAUGUAGCGGUGAAAUGCAUAGAUAUUACACAGAACACCAAUUGCGAAGGCAGCUCGCUAAACUAUCACUGACGCUGAGGCACGAAAGCGUGGGGAGCGAACAGGAUUAGAUACCCUGGUAGUCC